CAGAGCAACAAAAAUAUAAUUGUACAUUUAAAGGUACACAAAAGAUAUUUAGGGUGCAAUUUUGUACCCAAAAUGAGUAAUACAUUUUAUCCAUCAUGAUAUUGAUUGGACAUGAAUAACAAAUCUUUAAAAUGCAAAACAAAUGAAUACAUUAAAUAAAGCAAAUAAAAUGAAAUAGAAUAAAUGUUGAAUGUUAUAGUAAAUAUCUUGUAUUAACUGAAACUAAGAUUAAGUUUAAUGCUAAAAUCUCAAUCAAGACGAAGUAAAAUAAACUGUGGAGAGGUCACGAGGUCUGAGAGUGAAGCAGAAAGCCCAAGAGAGAGUUGAGCAGAUAUUAUAUUAUAAUUUAUAGCCCAAAACAUGCAUGUCAUAUUCCCUUAAACAGAUCAGAUGUUUUGUCUGGAUUCCCCUGAUGUUAGUAAUUAUCUCUUAUCACAAAAUAGUGAUUAAAAAUGUCUGUUUGUUUCUUCAAGGUGCAACAAUAGACCUUACACAUAUAGCAGAACUGUAAUGACCCUGUGGUGUUUUGUGUGUGUAACAUUGUAGUUUUCUAUCUGUGUUUGUGUGUUGUGAGAUACUUCCUGAUUGGCUGCUAUUCAAGUAUAGAAAAUGAUCUGCAAGUAUGUGCAGAAUUAGCAGCAAUAAUAAAAGGCAUUUUGAUGUG